UCGGCCUCUGCUUUGUGCUUUGUGUCUUAGCUUUAACGAAAUUGCCUGAUGAUCAGUGUAAGAAAUAGCAGCGGGUCUAAUAUCUGCUGCUGUAAUAUGUGGUCUUAUAUCGGAGCUGAUAAGAAAAUAAUCUAUUCUGCUUGCUAUGUUAAAGUUAUUUUUCCUUCUCCAGGUAAACUGUCUUUUGUUUGGGUUAAUUUCUCUCCAUAUAUCAACUAACUUGUGUUUUUUUAUUAAUUGUUUCAAACUAUUUACAGGUUUAUUAAAUUUUUGUGUACACGUACUUUUUCUGUCGUUUUCAG
rnacentral:lncRNA from 1 species